ACUGUAGUGUGAGCACUUCUAGU
rnacentral:miRNA from 14 species